rnacentral:rRNA from 1 species
CGCCUCCUGCAACAUAACUAAGUAUAGGAGGUCAAGCCUGCCCAGUGACCAUAAGUUCAACGGCCGCGGUAUCUUGACCGUGCAAAGGUAGCGCAAUCACUUGUCUUUUAAAUAAAGACCUGUAUGAAAGGUUAGACGAAGGCUUAACUGUCUCCCAUUUCCAGUCAGUGAAAUUGAUCUACCCGUGCAGAAGCGGGUAUAAUAAUACAAGACGAGAAGACCCUUUGGAGCUUUAGGUGCAAAACUCAACCAUGUCAAGCAACAUUAAUAAUUUUAUUUAAACCUAUAGUAAACUGAGAAUACACCUUCGGUUGGGGCGACCAUGGAGAAAAAAAGAGCCUCCAAGUGGACCGGAACAACACUCCAAAACCAAGAAAGACAUUUCCAAGCCACAGAACAUCUGACCAUAAAUGACCCGGCAAACAAUGACCGAUCAACGAACCAAGUUACCCUAGGGAUAACAGCGCAAUCCUCUCCCAGAGCCCAUAUCGACAAGAGGGUUUACGACCUCGAUGUUGGAUCAGGACAUCCUAAUGGUGCAGCCGCUAUUAAGGGUUCGUUUGUUCAACGAUUAAAGUCCUACGUGAUCUGAGUU